GUCUGCAACUCGACUACAUGAAGCUGGAAUCGCUAGUAAUCGCGGAUCAGAAUGCCGCGGUGAAUACGUUCCCGGGUCUUGUACACACCGCCCGUCACACCAUGGGAGUCGGAAAUGCCCGAAGUCGGUGACUUAACCGAAAGGAGAGAGCCGCCGAAGGCAGGUCUGAUAACUGGGGUGAAGUCGUAACAAGGUACC
rnacentral:rRNA from 1 species